rnacentral:rRNA from 1 species
UACCAGCACCCCGAGUGGUCGGGACGAUUAUUGGGCCUAAAGCAUCCGUAGCCGGCCUUACAAGUCCUCCGUUAAAUCCAGCUGCUUAACAGAUGGGCUGCGGAGGAUACUAUAAGACUAGGAGGCAGGAGAGGCAAGCGGUACUCAGUGGGUAGGGGUAAAAUCCGUUGAUCCAUUGAAGACCACCAGUGGCGAAGGCGGCUUGCCAGAAUGCGCUCGACGGUGAGGGAUGAAAGCUGGGGGAGCAAACCG